rnacentral:rRNA from 1 species
GACGAACGCUGGCGGCGUGCUUAACACAUGCAAGUCGAGCGAUGAAGCACCUUCGGGUGUGGAUUAGCGGCGAACGGGUGAGGAACACGUGAGCAAUCUGCCUUCCACUCUGGGAUAACUCCGGGAAACCGGGGCUAAUACCGGAUAUUUUCAACUGGCGGCAUCGCCGGCUGAAGAAAGUUUUGCGGUGGAGGAUGACCUCGCGGCCUAUCAGCUUGUUGGUGAGGUAAAGGCUCACCAAGACGACGACGGGUAGCCGGCCUGCGAGGGUGGACGGCGCCGCUGGGACUGAGACACGGCCCAGACGCCUACGGGAGGCGGCAGUGGGGAAUAUUGGGGAAUGGAGGAGGGUCUGACCCAGCGAGGCCGCGUGGGGGAUGAAGGCCUGCGGGUUGUAAACCUCUUUCAGCAGGGAAUAAGCGAAAGUGAAGGUACCUGCAGAAGAAGCACCGGCUAACUAUGUGCCAGCCGCCGCCGUAA